rnacentral:rRNA from 1 species
UACGAAGGGGGCUAGCGUUGCUCGGAAUCACUGGGCGUAAAGCGCGCGUAGGCGGAUCGUUAAGUCGGGGGUGAAAUCCUGGAGCUCAACUCCAGAACUGCCUUUGAUACUGGCGAUCUUGAGUCCGGGAGAGGUGAGUGGAACUCCGAGUGUAGAGGUGAAAUUCGUAGAUAUUCGGAAGAACACCAGUGGCGAAGGCGGCUCACUGGCCCGGUACUGACGCUGAGGUGCGAAAGCGUGGGGAGCAACAGGG